UACAGAGGUCUCAAGCGUUGUUCGGAUUCAUUGGGCGUAAAGGGUGCGUAGGCGGCGAGGCAAGUCGGAUGUGAAAUCCCGGGGGCUCAACCCUGGAACUGCAUUCGAUACUGCCUUGCUCGAGGACUCGAGAGGAGAUUGGAAUUCACGGUGUAGCAGUGAAAUGCGUAGAUAUCGUGAGGAAGACCAGUGGCGAAGGCGGAUCUCUGGAGAGUUCCUGACGCUGAGGCACGAAGGCCAGGGUAGCAAACGGG
rnacentral:rRNA from 1 species